ACAAAGAGAGAGGCAAGGCUGCACGCUCAAAGAUCCAGUCUGCAACGGGCAAUAAGAAUGUCCAUUUGGAGAUUUGUGAUAUUUCUUCCAUUACCGAUGUGAAACUUUGGCGUCGCGAUUUUGUGAGAUGGAUGUGCGUGUGCAUAUUCUGGUGAACAAUGCCGGUUUUGCUCGAAAAAAGCGUCUCACUACCUCCGAAGGGUAAGCCCGCAUU